rnacentral:rRNA from 1 species
UACGUAGGGUGCAAGCGUUGUCCGGAAUUAUUGGGCGUAAAGAGCUCGUAGGCGGUUAGUCGCGUCUGCUGUGAAAACUCGGGGCUUAACUCCGGGCCUGCAGUGGGUACGGGCUGACUAGAGUGCGGUAGGGGAGACUGGAAUUCCUGGUGUAGCGGUGAAAUGCGCAGAUAUCAGGAGGAACACCGGUGGCGAAGACGGGUCUCUGGGCCGUAACUGACGCUGAGGAGCGAAAGCUAGGGGAGCAAACGGG